GACGAACGCUGGCGGCGAGCUUAACACAUGCAAGUCGAACGGAAAGGCCCUGCUUUUGUGGGGUGCUCGAGUGGCGAACGGGUGAGUAACACGUGAGUAACCUGCCCUUGACUUUGGGAUAACUUCAGGAAACUGGGGCUAAUACCGGAUAGGAGUUCCUGCUGCAUGGUGGGGGUUGGAAAGUUUCGGCGGUUGGGGAUGGACUCGCGGCUUAUCAGCUUGUUGGUGGGGUAGUGGCUUACCAAGGCUUUGACGGGUAGCCGGCCUGAGAGGGUGACCGGCCACAUUGGGACUGAGAUACGGCCCAGACUCCUACGGGAGGCAGCAGUGGGGAAUAUUGCACAAUGGGCGGAAGCCUGAUGCAGCAACGCCGCGUGCGGGAUGACGGCCUUCGGGUUGUAAACCGCUUUCGCCUGUGACGAAGCGUGAGUGACGGUAAUGGGUAAAGAAGCACCGGCUAACUACGUG
rnacentral:rRNA from 1 species